UAUAUAUAUAUAUAAAUAAACUGAUUUGUUACUUCUAGGCUGGACUACUGUAACUCCUUACUCGUAAAAUGUCCUAACAGCUCCCUAAAAAGCCUACAGCUUAUUCAAAAUGCUGCAGCCAGAGCUCUGACAGGACUUAGAAAGUCCUUAGAAAGAGAGAUCACAUUUCUCCUACAUUAGCUUCUCUGCACUGGCUGCCUGUAAAAUGUAGGAUAGAAUUUAAUUCUCCUACUCGCCUACAAAGCACUUAAUGAUUAAGCUCCUUAUCUUAAAGACCUUAUAGUUCCUUAUGCUUCAAGCGGAACACUUCGUUCUCAGAGCACUGGGCUACUUGUGGUUCCUAGAGUCUUUAUGUUUCCUUCUACCUCUUCUGUCCAACAUCCUCCCAUCAUUGUUCUAUGUUCAACUAACUAAUGUUCUAAAUCCAACCAUCCUGCCUGUGCUCUGUUGUUGCUGUGCUUUUCUCUCUCUAUUCCCUCACCCCAACUGGUCGAGGCAGAUGGUCGCCCACAUCCAGCCUGCUUCUGCUGGAGGGUUCUUCUUCGUUAGAGAGGGAGUUUUUCCCUCUCCACUGUUUCUAUCAAAUUGAAGGGCCUGCUGUAUGUGGGAUCUGUUGGGUUUAGUUGUGUAAGGUCUUAACCCUUAUUUUGUAAAGUGCCUUGAGAUAACUUUGUUGUGAUUUGGCGCUAUAUAAAUAAAUAAAAAUAAAUAAAUUGAAAAGAAAAUCAAAAUCCAGCUGGGGAGAUCGGGACAUACAGCAGAGGUUUAAUGCAAAGAUUACACAAUCCUCAAGUUGCUUCUGCCUUGUGAGUUGAUCUCUGUCAUGGACAAUAAAAAUGUAGAGAUAACACAAAGAAACACACACACCGGCACAGAGCUAAAAAGCAACACAGGCCAAGAAAGUUUUGAGCAGUAAAGCAGCUGAGUGUGAUGAGGUCAUAAAGAUGGGAGUCGAUAGCACAGGGAGAGGGGAAGUGUGAGGAGAAGCAGCAUCCAAGGCGGAUUAGAGAUAAGAGAGUCCACACGCUUGCUGUAUGUGGGAUCUGUUGGGUUUAGUUGUGUAAGGUCUUAACCCUUACUUUGUAAAGUGCCUUGAGAUAACUUUGUUGUGAUUUGGCAAUUUGUAAAUGAAAUUCAAUUGAAAAAGUGUGCUUUAACAUUGUGUGUGUUCAGGCUGUCAGGCUGUCUGCUCUCAGAGGAAGCUUGUGUCUCUCUGGCCUCAGCUCUGAGCUCCAACCCCUCCCAUCUGAGAGAGCUGGACCUGAGCUACAAUCAUCCAGGAGACUCAGGAGUGGAGCUGCUGUCUGCUGGAGUCAAGGAUCCACACUGGAGACUGGACACUCUCAGGGUGGAGCCUGGUGGAGUCCGAUGCUUGACACCAGGUCUGAGCAAGUAUUUCUGUCAACUCACCAUUGACACAAACACAGUGAACAGGAAACUACGACUGUCUGACAACAACAGGAAGAUGACAUAUGUGGAAGAGGAUCAGUCAUAUCCUGAUCAUCCAGACAGAUUUGACCAGUGUCCUCAGCUGC